rnacentral:rRNA from 1 species
CUGCCCAGUGACAACUGUUUAACGGCCGCGGUAUCCUAACCGUGCAAAGGUAGCAUAAUCAUUUGCCUAUUAAUUGUAGGCUAGAAUGAAUGGACAAACGAAAUAAAACCUGUCUCGAUCAGUAAUUUAAAAAUUAACAUCUGUAUGAAGAGUUACAGAUAAAGUCGAAGGACAAGAAGACCCUAUAGAGCUUUAUUUUAAUACAGAAAAUAACUGUACAAAAAAAUUCGGUUGGGGCGACCAAGGACAUAACAAUCAUCCUAAAAAUUAAAGAUAUAUUAAUCUACAAAAUGACCCUCCUAAGAUCAUAAAAUCAAGCUACCUUAGGGAUAACAGGCUAAUCCUAUUUAAGAGUCCAUAUCUACAAUAGGGCUUGGCACCUCGAUGUUGGCUUAGGGUAUCAAUAUAGCGCAAAAGCUAUAUAAAGAAGGUUUGUUCAACCUAUAACUCCCU